UAAGUACGAGAUGCUACGGCAUCGAAGCAGUCUAUGUCAUACUUCCAAGAAAAGCUUGCACUGUCAUAAACAAAGAAUGCCUGUACCAUAACCGACACAGGUGGGUAGGUAGAGUAUACUAAGGGGCGCGAGAUAACUCUCUCUAAGGAACUCGGCAAAAUGACUCCGUAACUUCGGGAGAAGGAGUGCCUUAUUUCUAAGGUUGCAAUAACAAGAUCCAAGCAACUGUUUACCAAAAACACAGGUCUCCGCUAAGUCGUAAGACGAUGUAUGGGGGCUGACGCCUGCCCAGUGCCAGAAGGUUAAAGAAGUUGGUUAGCAUUAGCGAAGCUGAUAACUGAAGCCCUGGUGAACGGCGGCCGUAACUAUAACGGUCCUAAGGUAGCGAAAUUCCUUGUCGGGUAAGUUCCGACCCGCACGAAAGGCGUAAUGAUUUGGAUACUGUCUCGGAGAGGGGCUCGGUGAAAUAGACUUGUCUGUGAAGAUGCGGACUACCUGCACCUGGACAGAAAGACCCUAUGAAGCUUUACUGUAACUUGAGAUUGAAAUUGGACUUUAUUUGCGCAGUAUAGGUGGGAGGCGUUGAGAAUAAUCUUGCGGGAUUGUUGGAGCCAUCAGUGAGAUACCACUCUUGUAAUGUUAGAUUUCUAACUUUGUAUCAUUAUCUGGUCAAAGAACAGUUUCAGGCGGGCAGUUUGACUGGGGCGGUCGCCUCCCAAAGGGUAACGGAGGCGCACAAAGGUUUCCUCUGAACGGGUAGAAAUCGUAUCUAGAGUGUAAAGGCAUAAGGAAGCUUGACUGUGAGACCUACAAGUCGAGCAGGGACGAAAGUCGGUCUUAGUGAUCUGACGGUGCUGAGUGGAAAGGCCGUCACUCAACGGAUAAAAGUUACUCUAGGAUAACAGGCUGAUCUCCCCCAAGAGUUCACAUCGACGGGGAGGUUUGGCACCUCGAUGUCGGCUCAUCGCAUCCUGGGGCGGUAGUCCGUCCCAAGGGUUGGGCUGUUCGCCCAUGAAAGCGGUACGCGAGCUGGGUUCAGAACGUCGUGAGACAGUUCGGUCCAUAUCCGGUGUAGGCGUUAGAAUAUUGAGAGGAGCCUUCUCUAGUACGAGAGGACCGAGAAGGACAUACCUCUGGUGUACCAGUUAUCGUGCCAACGGUAAACGCUGGGUAGCUAUGUAUGGAGUGGAUAACCGCUGAAAGCAUCUAAGUGGGAAGCCCACCUCAAGAUGAGUACUCUCACCAUAUUGGUUAAGGUCACGGGAAGAACACCCGUUGAUAGGCAUCAGGUGGAAGUGCAGACAUA
rnacentral:rRNA from 1 species